AGUGAACGCUGGCGGUAGGUCUAACACAUGCAAGUCGAACGGCAGCACAGUAAGAGCUUGCUCUUACGGGUGGCGAGUGGCGGACGGGUGAGGAAUACAUCGGAAUCUACUUUUUCGUGGGGGAUAACGUAGGGAAACUUACGCUAAUACCGCAUACGACCUACGGGUGAAAGCAGGGGAUCUUCGGACCUUGCGCGAUUGAAUGAGCCGAUGUCGGAUUAGCUAGUUGGCGGGGUAAAGGCCCACCAAGGCGACGAUCCGUAGCUGGUCUGAGAGGAUGAUCAGCCACACUGGAACUGAGACACGGUCCAGACUCCUACGGGAGGCAGCAGUGGGGAAUAUUGGACAAUGGGCGCAAGCCUGAUCCAGCCAUACCGCGUGGGUGAAGAAGGCCUUCGGGUUGUAAAGCCCUUUUGUUGGGAAAGAAAAGCAGCAGGUUAAUACCCCGCUGUUCUGACGGUACCCAAAGAAUAAGCACCGGCUAACUUCGU
rnacentral:rRNA from 1 species